UUCCUAAUGAUGAAUAUGUUUCAGAAGAUGAAUUAGACGAGGCUUGUACUGAUUCGGAUUCGGAAUCUGAUUCAAGUUCUUAGUAAGUUUGUUGUUUAUGAAGUUUUUUAAAAUUGUAAUAUAAAUAAGUAAUCACUUAGUAAUGUGUAGUUUAUGAAGUUUAAAAAAUUUGUAAUAUAAAUAAGUAGUUUAUGAAGUUCUUAAAUUUGUAAUAUAUAAUAAAUUUAUAAUUUAUGAAGUUUAAAAUUUGGAAAUAUAAAAUAACUAGAUUUCUUAGUUUUAAAAUGUGAAUAUAUUUAAGUUUUUUAGUUUCUUAUAUUCUUAAAUUCUAAUUAAUAGUUUUGAGAUUUCAUAAAAAAAUACAUUUUUUUCUAAAACCUAACUAAACCCUAAACCCUAUCUAUACCCUAAACCUAUUUCCCACCACAUAAUAAACCCAAAAAAUUUCCCUCCUAAACCCAAAACCCAUUUCCCUCUAAACCAAAGCCCAAUUUCUAUACUUAGC
rnacentral:lncRNA from 1 species